GAAGGGCCAACACUGCAAAUACUGACUCUUUCAUAAAUGUCAUGUAAUUGUCGAUAAAAACCUUUGAAACGUAUGAAGUGCUUGUAACUAUAUUUCAGUACAUCACAGAAACAACUGAAACAAAGAUCUAAAAGCAGUUUACCAGCAAACUUUUUGAAAACGAAUAUUUAUGUAAUUCUCAAAACUUUUGGCCACGACUGUAGAGAGAGCGAGAGAGAGUGAGUGAGUGAGUAAUUACUAUAUUUUUGCUAGAGUUUUUGAGAUAGCACCUUGGUUGGUUUAAGCCUGUCAUGGAUAAAUAAAUAUGACACUAAAGCCACCAGUAGGUGGCAGCAAGUCUCUGUCUUAAUGAGUGAUCCAUUGACUCCUGUCUUUAUGAAUGGGCCACUGAAUCAUUGACUCAAAUGGUUUGUUCAAAAACACAGAUUCAUUCAGUAACAAAAUACACAGUGUUGCUCUGAGACGCACAAUUAGUCUUACUUCGGCUUUGUUAAAAACUUUUUCUUGCCAAUACAGAGAUAAACACACAGCAUUGUGACAAAUAUAACACACUUAAUACUAGCAUCUUGUUUGUUGAGCUGCUGUAUAAAAUCAAUUCAUUUGCGAUCGCGCUGACAUUCAGGAAAGCAACACUCUUGUUUUAGUUAGACAUUACUUAACUAUCAUGACAUAGAUAUUAAAAUAAAAUUUCUUACAGGUAAUUUUUGCUGUCAUAUAUUAAAUUAUUGUCAUGAGUCAGGUUAUCUUCUCCCUCUCUCUCUAUCCUUCCACACACAUAUGCACGCACACACACUUACACACACACUAACACACCCGCACCUGUUAGUUACACAAUCAGCACUCGCGCUGCUUUGCGAUGACACCUGUUCCCACUUUCUCCUUAAUGCUCAAUCAUUAUUUAGUGUUGGUUCAAGCCAUCAUUUGUCAGAUUAUUGUUUCAUGUCAUGUGCCUCAGCUAUCGCUCUCUUUUUGUCGAUAAGAGAUUUGGAAGAACUCACCCUGUCCUGUCUGUCCGGUACUGUCGGUGUCUACCUGUCUUACCUGUCUUGUCUGUCCAGUACAGCCGGCACCUAGGUGUUCUCGGAGCCCUGCCCCUGCUGCAUGAGUACCUCUGUGUUCCCCGGCUGAGAUACCAACUAUCGGGGUCUUCAAUCUCUAAGGGUGAUCAGAUCUAAGUCUCCUUCGUGGCAGAAGGUUUUGACGUUUUUUUGUUUUUCUCCAGCCCUGUGUGCUUCAUCAGCGGACAGCCUUGUUUUCCUUAUUCAUUAAAGACUGUUAAAGCCUGUGAACCUCUGCUUUUGGAUCUUUUUUCCCUUUAAGACUGUGACAAUUAUAUUGUAAUCUGAUAAACUUCAUCCGGCACUGAAAAACUCUCAUGAUGUGUUUGUUUUUGUUUUUUUAAUAAUGGCUGGUAUAUCAGCACUUGACUAUUAUUCAUUGACCUCUCAAAUAUGGUGUACCAUCUAAAAUAUGUAAGUAUUAGCAACUUUACAUGGCCUCUCAAUCUAAUGUUAACCUAGAGAAAUGUCCGCAAUUCAAGUGUCUGUGCGGAGUUUGGAAGUUGAGCAGUAGCUCACUGCAGGACAGAUGAAGGCGCUGGUGCAGAUACUUGCACUACAAUCAUUAUUUCUGCACUGUUUGUUUACUUCACUGGUUUGCACUCUAUCUGCCAUGUGCCUUGUGCUGGUUUACUUAUCUGUCUUUUUACAUGACCUAUUUGUAUAUUUUUAUAGUUGUACUUUAUAUUUUAUCUGUUUUUAAUGUUCUACUUUUAGUGUUAUCUGUAUGCACCAAGGGUAACACAAUUUAAAUUCUCUGUAUGUAUGUACUGUACAUGUGGAAGAAUUGACAAUAAAGCAGACUUGACUUGAUUUGACUUGCUCUUAAAAUAAUCUCUCAGUUUUGGUCAUACAGAUAAGAGUAAUACAUCUUUCAAAUCUG
rnacentral:lncRNA from 1 species